UGGGGAAUUGUUCACAAUGGGCGCAAGCCUGAUGACGCAACGCCGCGUGGGGGAUGAAGGUCUUCGGAUCGUAAACCCCUGUCGAAUGGGACGAAAGACUCGCGAGUGAAUACUUCGCGAGAGUGACGGUACCGUUAAAGGAAGCCACGGCUAACUCUGUGCCAGCAGCCGCGGUAAUACAGAGGUGGCAAGCGUUGUUCGGAUUUACUGGGCGUAAAGGGCGCGUAGGCGGCAAUUCAAGUCAUCUGUGAAAUCUCCGGGCUUAACUCGGAACGGUCAGAUGAUACUGCUUUGCUAGAGUGCAGAAGGGGCAAUCGGAAUUCUUGGUGUAGCGGUGAAAUGCGUAGAUAUCAAGAGGAACACCUGAGGCGAAGACGGGUUGCUGGGCUGACACUGACGCUGAGGCGCGAAAGCCAGGGGAGCAAACGGGAUUAGAUACCCCCGUAGUCCCUGAGCGGGCUGGCAAGGCGCAU
rnacentral:rRNA from 1 species